ACUAAUCUCACGAUUCCAUGUAAUAUUUAAAAUUAAAUAAUUAGAUAAAUCUAGAUUUAUAAAUAGAUAAUAUUAUAGGUUAAUAAAGGUGCCAGCAACUGCGGUUAAACCAAUUAUAAAAAUUAACUAUACUCUAUUUCAAAUUUAAAUAAAAUCAUAUUAAUAAUAUUAUUUUAAUAUAAUUAUAUUCUUUGGUGAAAUAUGAAUAUUUAAAAAUUUUAAUAAUAUUAUAUAAAUAUAUUUACAAUUAUAAAUUUAUAAAAAAAACUAGGAUUAGAUACCCUAUUAUUAUAAACCUAAAAAAAAAUUUAAGAUUAAAUGUUAAAUCAUUAAAUUACUCAAAUUUGGCGGUAUUUCAACCCUCUCAGGGGAAUCUGUAAUUUAAAACGAUGAACCACGAAAAAAUUUACUUUUAUUUAAUUAAAUAUAUUUAAUUUAAUUAAUCUCAUAUAUCGCCGUUUUCAGAUAUUUUAUUAAUAAAAUAAUUUAAAAGUCUAACAUCAAAAACAAUAAUUCAGGUCAAAAUACGGAAUAUAAAAGAUAUUAUAGAUCACAUAAAUCAAUACUUAUAUAUAUAUAUAUAUAUAUAUAUAUAUAUAUAUAUAUAUAUAUAUAAAUAAAAUUAAUCAUAUAAAAAUUAAUUUUAUAGGAUUUGAAAGUAAAAUAAAAUUUUAAUUUUUUUAUUUGAAUAGGUUUUGAAAUGUGUACAAAUCGCCCGUCACUCUCAUCGAAAGAAGGGAUAAGUCGUAACAUAGUAAGAGUACUGGAAGGUGCCCUUAGAAAUUGAAAUUUUAAUUUAAAUUAAAAUUAUUCAUUUACAAUGAAUAUAUAUAUAUAUUAUAUAAAUUUCAAAUAAUCUUUUAUUUUAUAAUAU
rnacentral:rRNA from 1 species